CCUACGGGAGGCAGCAGUGAGGAAUAUUGGUCAAUGGACGAGAGUCUGAACCAGCCAAGUAGCGUGAAGGAUGACUGCCCUAUGGGUUGUAAACUUCUUUUAUAUGUGAAUAAAACGUUCCACGUGUGGGAUUUUGUCUGUACCAUAUGAAUAAGGAUCGGCUAACUCCGUGCCAGCAGCCGCGGUAAUUCGGAGGAUCCGAGCGUUAUCCGGAUUUAUUGGGUUUAAAGGGAGCGUAGGUGGAUUGUUAAGUCAGUUGUGAAAGUUUGCGGCUCAACCGUAAAAUUGCAGUUGAAACUGGCAGUCUUGAGUACAGUAGAGGUGGGCGGAAUUCGUGGUGUAGCGGUGAAAUGCUUAGAUAUCACGAAGAACUCCGAUUGCGAAGGCAGUUCACUGGACUGCAACUGACACUGAGGCUCGAAAGUGUGGGUAUCAAACAGGAUUAGAUACCCCGGUAGUC
rnacentral:rRNA from 1 species